rnacentral:rRNA from 1 species
AUGGCUCAGAACGAACGCUGGCGGCGCGUUUAAGCAUGCAAGUCGAGCGGCAAGGGCCUUCGGGCCCCUAGAGCGGCGGACGGGUGAGUAACACGUGGACAAUCUGCCCCCCGGCCCGGGAUAGCCCAGGGAAACCUGGAUUAAUACCGGAUGAGACGGGACCCGCGAUGGCGGGAUCCGGGAAAGGCGCUGCGGCGCCGCCGAGGGAUGAGUCUGCGUCCCAUUAGCUAGACGGCGGGGUAACGGCCCACCGUGGCGACGAUGGGUAGCCGGCCUGAGAGGGUGGACGGCCACAUUGGAACUGAGACACGGUCCAGACUCCUACGGGAGGCAGCAGCUAAGAAUCUUCCGCAAUGGGCGAAAGCCUGACGGAAGCGACGCCGCGUGAACGAAGAAGGCCGUGAGGUUGUAAAGUUCUUUUCGGGAGGGGGAACAACCGUGGCAGGGAAUGGCCGCGGGAUGACGUGAAUCCCGGAAUAAGCCCCGGCUAACUACGUGCCAGCCGCCGC